GGUAGGUGUAGUAGUAGACCAGGGUACUAACUUGUAGUAACAUUGGUAGGUGUAGUAGACCAGGGUACUAACCUGUAGUAACAUUGGUAGGUGUAGUAGUAGACCAGGG